UACGAGAGGCCCAAACGUUAUUCGGAUUUAUUGGGCUUAAAGAGUUCGUAGGCCGCGCGGAAAGUAGGGUGUGAAAGCCCUCGGCUCAACCGAGGAACUGCGCUCUAAACUACCGUGCUUGAGGAACCUAGAGGUGAGCAGAACUGAUGGUGGAGCGGUGAAAUGCGUUGAUAUCAUCAGGAACACCGGAGGCGAAGGCGGCUCACUGGGGGUUAUCUGACGCUGAGGAACGAAAGCCAGGGGAGCGAACGGG
rnacentral:rRNA from 1 species